AGAGUUUGAUCCUGGCUCAGGAUGAACGCUGACAGAAUGCUUAACACAUGCAAGUCUACUUGAUCCUUCGGGUGAUGGUGGCGGACGGGUGAGUAACGCGUAAAGAACUUGCCCUGCAGUCUGGGACAACAUUUGGAAACGAAUGCUAAUACCGGAUAUUAUGUGAGUUUCGCAUGAAAUUCAUAUGAAAGCUAUAUGCGCUGCAGGAGAGCUUUGCGUCCUAUUAGCUAGUUGGUGAGGUAACGGCUCACCAAGGCGAUGAUAGGUAGCCGGCCUGAGAGGGUGAACGGCCACAAGGGGACUGAGACACGGCCCUUACUCCUACGGGAGGCAGCAGUGGGGAAUAUUGGACAAUGGACCAAAAGUCUGAUCCAGCAAUUCUGUGUGCACGAUGAAGUUUUUCGGAAUGUAAAGUGCUUUCAGUUGGGACGAAGUAAGUGACGGUACCAACAGAAGAAGCGACGGCUAAAUACGUGCCAGCAGCCGCGGUAAUACGUAUGUCGCAAGCGUUAUCCGGAUUUAUUGGGCGUAAAGCGCGUCUAGGCGGUUUGGUAAGUCUGAUGUGAAAAUGCGGGGCUCAACUCCGUAUUGCGUUGGAAACUGCCAAACUAGAGUACUGGAGAGGUGGGCGGAACUACAAGUGUAGAGGUGAAAUUCGUAGAUAUUUGUAGGAAUGCCGAUGGGGAAGCCAGCCCACUGGACAGAUACUGACGCUAAAGCGCGAAAGCGUGGGUAGCAAACAGGAUUAGAUACCCUGGUAGUCCACGCCGUAAACG
rnacentral:rRNA from 2 species